rnacentral:snoRNA from 1 species
AAACUUGAAGAUGAUGAACUAGUUUCCUAUAUUCUCACCGGAUUGGAUCUUGAAUUCAAUCCUGUUGUUUCUGCUAUUGCUGCUCGUGUUGAGCCCAUCACGGUGGGUGACCUCUUCACCCAGCUUACAAGCUUCGAGC